GAAAUGCGAUAAGUAAUGUGAAUUGCAGAAUUCAGUGAAUCAUCGAAUCUUUGAACGCACAUUGCGCCCCUUGGUAUUCCGGGGGGCAUGCCUGUUCGAGCGUCAUUACAACCCUCAAGCUCUGCUUGGAAUUGGGCACCGUCCUCACUGCGGACGCGCCUCAAAGACCUCGGCGGUGGCUGUUCAGCCCUCAAGCGUAGUAGAAUACACCUCGCUUUGGAGCGGUUGGCGUCGCCCGCCGGACGAACCUUCUGAACUUUUCUCAAGGUUGACCUCGGAUCAGGUAUGGAUACCCGCUGAACUUAAGC
rnacentral:misc_RNA from 1 species